rnacentral:rRNA from 1 species
UACAGAGGCCCCAAGCGUUACUGAGAAUCACUGGGUUUAAAGGGUGCGUAGGUGGUCCGUUAAGUUCGUUGUGAAAGCCCUGGGCUCAACCCAGGAACUGCUUCGAAUACUGGCGGACUUGAGGCUAGUAGAGGUCACUGGAACUGACGGUGGAGCGGUGAAAUGCGUAGAUAUCGUCAGGAACGCCAAUGGUGAAGACAGGUGACUGGGCUAGAUCUGAGCACUGAGCACGAAAGCGUGGGGAUCAAACGGGGAUUAAGAUACCC